UCUAACUAGAUCAAAGAGUAUGUGUGCUGUGCUGUGCUGUGCUUAGAUAUUGUUAUGAAGUAAUGCAAACUGAUGUUGUACAACUACAGGACUUUCAAUCUCAGUCAAGUUGAGUGGUCAGUUGCACGAAUAGUAACUGUAAUUCAAACUUGUCACUGGAAAAAGUGCCGCUGUGUGGGAAUCAAUUGUAGUUUCUCCGGAAAAGAUGUUACAGCCAGUGUAUGAAGACUGAACUUUUGGUACGGUCACAGGUGCUCUUGCAAAGACUGAUGGCCUGGCAGCAUAAACUAUUCUAUGGUUAUAGGGGUAAUGUCUUUAAACAGAAGCAUGCUGUUGUGGAGUGAAAGUGCACAAACCAUUGAUAACCCUUUGGAGAAUCAGUACCAGAUGUCUUUUCAAAUGUUUGCCAUUCUGAACGUUUUUUUUUUUGACUGAGCAGUGUCAAACAGUCUUCGGAUCCUAGAGAAUCAGUUUCUCCAAUUGAAAAAAUCACCA